GGUGGGGUGGCCGAGUGGUUUAAGGCGGUAGUCUUGAAAACUGCUGUGCCCGAAAGGGUACCGUGAGUUCGAAUCUCACCCCCACCG
rnacentral:tRNA from 1 species